rnacentral:lncRNA from 1 species
UUCGAAAAAAAAAAAAAAAAAUGCAUAAAAUCGGACCGUACGAUGUUUUUGCUUUUGCAUACGUUUAUCUUAAUUAUAAUUUUACACAUAUGCCAUAACAGAGAUCAAUAAAUGUAGGAUCUUGUGCAAAACAAGUAUUGUUUUCAUUGAUUCGGUUUCAGUCGCUAACAAGUAAACGAAAGUUAAUAAUUCGAUGAAUGCCAUCAACUAAACUUUGCACAAUACAUGUUUAAACAGCACUGUUUUCAUUCUACAGUAUUCAUUUCUCUUCAGGGAAUUCUAACUUUAAUAGAGAGAGAGAGAUGGAGACGAGAAGGGACGACUGCUUAGCAAAUGUUACUAUGGUAACGAAUCAGUGAUAGAAACAUCACUACCACCUACAGGAUAAGCGAGAUUUCCAUUAGAGAAUCAAGCAAAAUGCUUGAUAGACAACCUACCAUAAUCCUUGACGACUUUCAUUCUGAACAAGGAUUACACUUUAAUGGACAUCAAAAGGCAAUGUUUGUUAUUCUUGGAUUUAUCUAUUUGGAAUGUCUUUCUGUCUGCUACUUUUAAUGGUCUUUCCGUGAGAAUUUCUUCCUAUAUUUUUUUCUUUUUUGUUUUUCUCUGUCCAUCCAAUGCCGACUCCUCACAGAAUCUCAAUCCCCAUCAUCAAAAGUCAGAAAUGGUUGGAAGUCAGAAAUGUCCGAAAUUUAUGGAUUGUCCAUUACAAAUAUUUAUUAUUACUCUCCACUUUAUUGUAACAAACUUAACAAACACAAAA